rnacentral:tRNA from 1 species
CGCCGUGAGCCUCCGGCAGGUGCUCGCUCACGCCGAGCAACUCCUUGGCUGCCGGGCCGAGCUCUCGUUCCACCCGACGCGGGCCGGC